UCUCUCUCUCUCUCUCUCUCUCUCUCUCUCUCUCUCUCUCUCAUUCUUCCUCUUAAACUCCUCUCUCUGUCACCCUCUCUAUAUAUUUUUUUCUUUCUCUCUAUUUCUCUCUCUCUCUCAUUCUUCCUCUUAACCUCUCUCUCUCUGUCUCUAUCUAUGUGUGUGUGUGUUUCAGCCCAGGGCAGUGUGGGUGGAAUAGGAAUUACACAGGGUGGGGAGGGGAGAGAGAGAGAGAAUGUGAGAGAGGGAGAGAGGGAGGAGAGAGAGAGAGAAUGUGAGAGAGGGAGAGAGGGAGGAGAGAGAAUGAGAGGGAGGAGAGAGAGAGAGAAUGAGACAGUAACUGGUGGCUUGGACACAUCUGAGCCAGCAACUAGAGAUUUCUCUCCAUGACAAACACACACUCACCUCUUCACACACACACACAUUUUCCUCCUCACACACACACACACACACACACACUCACACACGCUCAGCGAUUGAUGGAUUAAUAUUUUGAGGGGAUGUUUCUGAUGCCGUGCUGAGAUCUACUUCUCUUCCUCAUGGAGCAGAAAACCCUGAACUGUGAGGGAGCUACGGAAGGAUCUGCCGUGGUCUCUGAUGGAGAGUUGAACAGUGUUGACCUUACAGGGCUGUGGUAGUGACAACAGUCUGAACAGUAAUGCCAGCCUACCCAGUGUCCAGUGCCAUCGACGCGUCGUCACACAGAGAGACGGGUGGCCAGCUGGGCGGCCUGCUUUGAGAGACUGCUGCAGGACCCGGUCGGAGUCAGAUACUUCUCAGAGUUCCUGAAGAAGGAGUUUAGCGAGGAGAAUAUUGUGUUCUGGCAGGCCUGUGAGUUCUUCAGCCAUGUCCCCGACAACGACAAGAAACUGU